rnacentral:piRNA from 1 species
UCCAACACCUACGAUUGUUUG